rnacentral:rRNA from 1 species
AUUCCAGCUCCAAUAGCGUAUAUUAAAGUUGUUGCAGUUAAAAAGCUCGUAUUUGAAUUUUUGUCUGUUGGGGCCUUGUUCUGUCCUUAGUGGCGGAGUUUAGUGUCCCGACGGACUUCCUGGGGGCCAACUAGUUGGUGUUUCAUUACACUGAUUAGGGAACCCCCUCGUUUACUGUGAAAAAAUUAGAGUGUUUCAAGCAGGCGUUUCGCAUUGAAUACAUUAGCAUGGAAUAAUAAGAUAGGACUUUGGUGCUAUUUUGUUGGUUUGCACACCAAGGUAAUGAUUAAGAGGGACAGUUGGGGGUAUUCGUAUUAUCAUGUCAGAGGUGAAAUUCUUGGAUUUUGGUAAGACGAACUACUGCGAAAGCAUUUACCAAGGAUGUUUUCAUCG